rnacentral:misc_RNA from 1 species
GGUUCUUUAUCAACGUAGUAUCAGGUGCUUUUAAGUUGUUAUUGAACUUAAGGUGUUAGUCUAUAAAUGAAAAAAAGGAGGAAGGAAUCAAGGAUUCUUCUACUGUCUUUUCUAAGCAUUUUCCUGUUGCUAAUAUUUUCUCUAGUUAAUUUUAGUCAUUGGAUUUAACAAUCUUAUUGAUCUGUAUUAGCCUAUUCUUGUUAUCAGCUGAUUCUUGUAGGAUUA